rnacentral:misc_RNA from 1 species
CUGACCUUGUCGCACGUCGUCUUCUAUGUGCUGCGCAUCGACAUGGUCGCCACCAUGCCAAGAAGCACAGCAAGAAGGACGCCCGGGCCACACUUGACCCUGAGCGCGUCCGCCGGACCGGUGGUGAUCCUGGCGCUGGUCCCAGCAACGCUGCGGCACCUGUCGCACCGCCUCAGCAACCGCCAGCGCCACACCAAGAUCGAUGGGUGCGUCCUCCAUCGCCUUCGCCGGAGCGGGUUGUAG